UCGACGGUUGGAUUGCCACGGCUGUCGAAGAUCUGCCUUGCCUUGAUGCUUUGGGUGGUACUGGUAUCUAUAGAUCUGAAAAACAUCACGUAGAUGAGGAGAGGUUUUAAGCGAAAAAUGAACCGACCCCGUAAGGCAUCACAAAUGGGAAGGUGCGCUGCUCUUGUAGUUCUUCGAAAGUUGCAUGGAUCACUCAGAAAAGACCUCUGCAAUUCCAUACAUGUUCCACUUUCCCUUUGCUUCUGCUCCGAAACUGUUUCAGAGACACCUGCUGAAACCCACCAUACCCCAAUAAAUGAGCCUUCCGGAGAAUUUAAUAAUCAAUCCGAUUCACAAGAACAAGAACGGCUUGAACAAGUUCGUGAGUUUCAAAAUUUACUUGAAAAGGGCCGCGGUCAUGCUGUCCAAAGGUUCAUCAAAUCCCUGGUUCUCUCUAAAAACCCAUUUUGUUCUCCCUUGGACCUGCACGACUACUUCUCCCUCUCAGCACCCUCCUUGAAACCCCUUUUCUCAAAUUUGCUUUUCCGGGCUUGCUCCGAGUCCGAGAUGGUCGAUGAAGCUAUGGAGUUAUACUACUUGAUGAAGAAAGACGGUAUGCUUCCUUCGACAGGUUCGGUGAAUCGGUUGCUCGAAACUUUGAUUACUUUGAAACAGUAUAAGAAAAUUCUUGAUCUAUUCCCGGAAUUUGUGGAGUCUGGCAUUCAACCCAACACUUUCUCAUACGGCAAAGCUGUUCAGGCUGCAGUGAUGCUGAAGGACUUAAAAAGGGCUCUCGAAUUGAUCAAUGACAUGGAGGAGGGAGGAGUGAGCCCCUCUUCGUUUAUUUAUAACCUGGUAAUAGGUGGGUUGUGUAAAGAGCGGAGAAUCACAGAUGCUCACAAUCUGUUUGAUGAAAUGAUCAAAAGGAAGCUGGUUCCGAAUUUGGUUACUUAUAAUACGCUGAUUGAUGGAUACUGCAAGGUGGGAGAGAUAGAGAGAGCUUUGGCUUUGAGGGAGAGGAUGAGGGUGGAAAAUGUGGAGCCUAAUCUUGUCACGUACAAUUCUAUGUUGAAUGGUCUUUGUGAUUCACAGAGGAUGGCAGAAGCGAGGUCAUUGUUGCAAGAGAUGGAGGCUAACAAGUUUUUGCCGGAUGGAUUCACUCAAAUUAUAUUUGAUGGUGUUUCAAGUGGAAAUAAUAAUGGUUUGUUGGACAAAGGGGAGAUGAUCAACGAGUAUACUUGUAGUAUUUUGUUGGAUGGAUUAUGCAGAGCGGGUAUGGUUGAAAAGGCCAAGGAGGUUUUGACCAAACUAACAGAGAGUGGAUUUAUACCAAGUAAGAUAGUGUACAAUGUGUUAGUGAAUGCAUACUGCCAAGCGGGUCACAUAGAGAAAGCCAUACUGACAAUUGAACAAAUGGAAGAACGUGGGGUGGAGGCUAGCUAUGUGACGUUCAAUACCCUCAUUAACAAGUUCUUUGAAAUAAAGGAGGUGGACCAGGCAGAGACAUGGUUGAAGAAGAUGGCAGAGAAGGGUGUUUCCCCAAGUUUGGAGACUUAUAACAUUUUAAUUAAUGGUUACGGCUGCAUGAGUCAAUUUGAGAAAUGUUUCCAGAUUCUCGAGGAAAUGGAAAAGGCAGGGAUAGAGCCUAGUGUCUUGAGCUAUGGUCUUCUGGUAAAUUGCUUAUGCAAAGGAGGCAAGCUUCUUGAAGCGGAACUGAUCCUUGCGGAUAUGGCAAACCGAGGGGUUUCUCCAAACGCAGAAAUAUAUAAUAUGCUCAUUGAAGGUAGCUGCUCAAUGGGCAAAAUGACAGACGCCUUGAGAUUUUUUGAGGAAAUGGUUAAAAAUGGACCAGCUCCAACUCUUGUGACAUACAAUACGCUCAUAUAUGGGCUCGGAAAAGAUGGAAGGAUAACAGAAGCUGAGGAGUUUUUCCAGCAAAUGGGUAGCAAUGGAUACAAUCCAGAUGUAAUCUCAUACAACUCCUUGAUCUCAGGAUAUGCUAGGUCAGGUGACACCCAUAAAUGCCUCGAAUUGUAUGAUAAUAUGAAGAAAGUGGGCAUAAAACCUACAGUUAGGACGUUUCAUCCUUUGAUCAAUGCAAGCAUCAAGGAAGGGGUUGUGACAGCAGAGAGGCUGUAUCAGGAAAUGUUAGAAAUGGGUUUGGUUCCAGAUCGAGUUGUAUAUAAUGCGAUGAUUUGCACUUACGCUGAAGAAGAAGGCAAUGUUGAGAAGGCAAUGUCUUUGCACCGACGGAUGGUUGAGCAGGGGAUUAAUUCGGACAAUGUAACUUAUAACAGCUUAAUUUUGGUAUACCUUGCGGAUAAAAGGGUGUUGGAAGUAAAGCAUCUUGUUCAUGACAUGAAGGCCAAAGGAGUGGUUCCAAAAGCUGAUACAUAUAACAUACUGGUGAAGGGAUGUUGCAGUGUGAAGGAUUUCAAUGAGGCGUACUUUUGGUAUAAAGAAAUGUCUGACAGAGGCUAUUCCCUAAAUGAACGCAUCUGUUAUCAACUUAUUUCUGGACUUAGUCACAAGGGUAUGCUACAAGAAGCUCAAAUCGUUUCCUCAGACUUGAGUUGCAAGGCAUAAAACGUAGUACAAGAGAGGAUUUGCAUUUUAAUAGGUCCAACUCGUCUCCUCACCAUUGAAUCGCCAAGGCAAUGGCUUCUGCUACCUUAGUAUUUGCAGGAGCAUAAUUAAAUUUGCAUGCUGACCUUCCAACAUUAAGCUGGCAUAGACCAAUAUUACUUGCUUGGGCAUUAUCAGACAAGCACCUGAUUAAAAUGUGACAGUGCAACCAGCUUGCAAGAACUAUCAAUGUUGCCACUUUGUGGGAUUGUGCCUGUCGUGCUUAGGAUGUUCAUCUGCUGUUCUUGUACACCCUCAUUGAGGCAAUGAAGUCUUGCAAUUUGUGUGCACCAAAAA